CGAGUCUUUCGCAGUUUCGGAAAGCGUAAAUUUUUACGCUUUCCGAAAGUCGAGAAACAUCCCAAGUGCAUGGCCAUGGAUCACGCUAUCCUGCUUGGAAAAUCAUUUGGUAAUUGUUUUAUAAAAUAACUGCAGUGAAACAAUGACAUUUUGAGAAUCCCGCGAAGGCAUUUUAAUUCCUCGUGCAUGAUAGCAUGAUCGAUCCUGCACGGCUAUUAACCAAUCAAAUUACGUGUGUCACUGCAUGUAGUUAUUAUAUAAAAGUCUAUAUAUUCUAUAAUAUUGAUUAUUGAGUUUUCCGGCGAUUACAGACCACAG